rnacentral:rRNA from 1 species
ACUCAAAUGAAUUGACGGGGGCCCGCACAAGCGGUGGAGCAUGUGGUUUAAUUCGAUGCUACGCGAAGAACCUUACCCAGACUUGACAUCCCGCGCAUAGCCGUGAAAGCGGUGAAUUCCCUUCGGGGACGCGGUGACAGGUGCUGCAUGGCUGUCGUCAGCUCGUGUUGUGAGAUGUUGGGUUAAGUCCCGCAACGAGCGCAACCCUCGUCGCUAGUUACCAUCAUUAAGUUGGGCACUCUAGCGAGACCGCUGAGCUAUAAGCCAGAGGAAGGUGGGGAUGACGUCAAGUCCUCAUGGCCCUUAUGUCUGGGGCUACACACGUGCUACAAUGGAAAGGACAAUGCGUUGCAAGCCGGCGACGGCAAGCUAAUCGCAAAAAACUUUUUUCAGUUCGGAUUGGAGUCUGCAACUCGACUCCAUGAAGCUGGAAUCGCUAGUAAUCGUGGAUCAGAACGCCACGGUGAAUACGUUCCCGGGCCUUGUACACACCGCCCGU